UACGUAGGGUGCGAGCGUUAAUCGGAAUUACUGGGCGUAAAGCGUGCGCAGGCGGUUCGUUAAGUUCGAUGUGAAAGCCCCCAGCUCAACUGGGGAAGUGCCUCUGAUACUGGUCGCCUCGAGGGAGAUAGGGGCGUGCGGAACUUCCGGUGGAGCGGUGAAAUGCGUAGAUAUCGGAAGGAACACCGGUGGCGAAAGCGGCGCGCUGGAUCUCUUCUGACGCUGAGGCGCGAAAGCCAGGGGAGCGAACGGG
rnacentral:rRNA from 1 species